CAGCACCCCGAGUGGUCGGGACGAUUAUUGGGCCUAAAGCAUCCGUAGCCGGUUCUACAAGUCUUCCGUUAAAUCCACCUGCUUAACAGAUGGGCCGCGGAGGAUACUAUAAGACUAGGAGGCAGGAGAGGCAAGCGGUACUCAGUGGGUAGGGGCAAGAUCCGUUGAUCCAUUGAAGACCACCAGUGGCGAAGGCGGCUUGCCAGAAUGCGCUCGACGGUGAGGGAUGAAAGCUGGGGGAGCAAACCGGAUUAGAUACCCGAGUAGUCC
rnacentral:rRNA from 1 species